UGCCAGCAGCCGCGGUAACACGAACUGCGCGAACGUUAUUCGGAAUCACCGGGCUUAAAGAGUCCGUAGGCGGCCAGGCAGGUGAGGUGUGAAAUCCCACGGCUCAACCGUGGAAUAGCGCUUCAAACCGCCAGACUCGAGGGAGAUAGAGGUGAGCGGAACUGAUGGUGGAGCGGUGAAAUGCGUUGAUAUCAUCAGGAACACCGGUGGCGAAAGCGGCUCACUGGGUCUUUUCUGACGCUGAGGUACGAAAGCUAGGGUAGCGAACGGGAUUAGAUA
rnacentral:rRNA from 1 species